UGACGGGUAGCCGGCCUGAGAGGGUGACCGGCCACAUUGGGACUGAGAUACGGCCCAGACUCCUACGGGAGGCAGCAGUGGGGAAUUUUCCGCAAUGGGCGAAAGCCUGACGGAGCAAUCUCGCGUGAGGGAUGACUGCCUAUGGGUUGUAAACCUCUUUUUUCAGGGAGGAAUAAAUGACGUGUACCUGAAGAAUAAGCAUCGGCUAACUCCGUGCCAGCAGCCGCGGUAAUACGGAGGGGGUUAGCGUUGUUCGGAAUUACUGGGCGUAAAGCGUACGUAGGCGGAUUAGUAAGUUAGAGGUGAAAUCCCGGGGCUCAACCCCGGAACUGCCUUUAAUACUGCUAGUCUUGAGUUCGAGAGAGGUGAGUGGAAUUCCGAGUGUAGAGGUGAAAUUCGUAGAUAUUCGGAGGAACACCAGUGGCGAAGGCGGCUCACUGGCUC
rnacentral:rRNA from 1 species